rnacentral:rRNA from 1 species
AACGUAGGACGCAAGCGUUAUCCGGAGUUACUGGGCGUAAAGGGCGUGUAGGCGGCUUUUCAAGUUCGUCGUGAAAGACCCCGGCUAAACCGGGGGAGGUCGAGGGAGACUGAGAAGCUAGAGGGCGGUAGAGGGACAGGGAAUUCCGGGUGUAGUGGUGAAAUGCGUAGAGAUCCGGAGGAACACCAGUGGCGAAGGCGCUGUCCUGGGCCGCAACUGACGCUGAGGAGCGAAAGCGUGGGGAGCGAACAGG